UACGUAGGGCGCAAGCGUUAUCCGGAAUUAUUGGGCGUAAAGAGCUACGUAGGCGGUUUGUCGCGUCUGCCGUGAAAGUCCGGGGCUCAACUCCGGAUCUGCGGUGGGUACGGGCAGACUAGAGUGAUGUAGGGGAGACUGGAAUUCCUGGUGUAGCGGUGAAAUGCGCAGAUAUCAAGGAGGAACACCGAUGGCGAAGGCAGGUCUCUGGGCAUUAACUGACGCUGAGGAGCGAAAGCAUGGGGAGCGAACAGG
rnacentral:rRNA from 1 species